rnacentral:rRNA from 1 species
UGGUGGAGUGAUUUGUCUGGUUAAUUCCGUUAACGAACGAGACCUUAACCUGCUAAAUAGCUGCAUGAAUUAAUGUUUCAUGAAUGGCUUCUUAGAGGGACUUUGCGUGUUUAACGCAAGGAAGUUUGAGGCAAUAACA